CGGACCAAACUCCUACGGGAGGCAGCAGUGAGGAAUAUUGGUCAAUGGCCGAGAGGCUGAACCAGCCAAGUCGCGUGAAGGAAGAAGGAUCUAUGGUUUGUAAACUUCUUUUAUAGGGGAAUAAAGUGGAGGACGUGUCCUUUUUUGUAUGUACCCUAUGAAUAAGCAUCGGCUAACUCCGUGCCAGCAGCCGCGGUAAUACGGAGGAUGCGAGCGUUAUCCGGAUUUAUUGGGUUUAAAGGGUGCGUAGGUGGUGAUUUAAGUCAGCGGUGAAAGUUUGUGGCUCAACCAUAAAAUUGCCGUUGAAACUGGGUUACUUGAGUGUGUUUGAGGUAGGCGGAAUGCGUGGUGUAGCGGUGAAAUGCAUAGAUAUCACGCAGAACUCCGAUUGCGAAGGCAGCUUACUAAACCAUAACUGACACUGAAGCACGAAAGCGUGGGGAUCAAACAGGAUUAGAUACCCUGGUAGUCCACGCAGUAAACGAUGAUUACUAGGAGUUUGCGAUACAAUGUAAGCUCUACAGCGAAAGCGUUAAGUAAUCCACCUGGGGAGUACGCCGGCAACGGUGAAACUCAAAGGAAUUGACGGGGGCCCGCACAAGCGGAGGAACAUGUGGUUUAAUUCGAUGAUACGCGAGGAACCUUACCCGGGCUUGAAUUGCAACUGAAUGAUGUGGAGACAUGUCAGCCGCAAGGCAGUUGUGAAGGUGCUGCAUGGUUGUCGUCAGCUCGUGCCGUGAGGUGUCGGCUUAAGUGCCAUAACGAGCGCAACCCUUGCCGAUAGUUACUAACAGGUCAUGCUGAGGACUCUGUCGGGACUGCCAUCGUAAGAUGUGAGGAAGGUGGGGAUGACGUCAAAUCAGCACGGCCCUUACGUCCGGGGCUACACACGUGUUACAAUGGGGGGUACAGAAGGCAGCUACACGGCGACGUGAUGCUAAUCCCUAAAGCCUCUCUCAGUUCGGAUUGGAGUCUGCAACCCGACUCCAUGAAGCUGGAUUCGCUAGUAAUCGCGCAUCAGCCACGGCGCGGUGAAUACGUUCCCGGGCCUUGUACACACCGCCCGUCAAGCCAUGGGAGCCGGGGGUACCUGAAGUGCGUAACCGCGAGGAGCGCCCUAGGGUAAAACUGGUGACUGGGGCUAAGUCGUAACAAGGUAGCCGUACCGGAAGGUGCGGCUG
rnacentral:rRNA from 1 species